rnacentral:lncRNA from 1 species
UUCCAUGGAUCGACUUUGGUUGGGAUGAUGAUCCACCUCCACAUUGGCACCAGAAACCGCCAACACCGUCUCCACCACCUCCGUCACCAAAAGCACAACCUCCACCGCCGCCACCAUCACCAAAAGCACAACCUCCACCGCCGCCACCAUCACCAAAAGCACAGCCUCCAUCCCCUCCACCGCUUCCACCGCCUCCAGUAGCUGCGCCGAGUCGUGCACCCACACCCGCUCCCAAAAAGGCACCUUCUCUUGUGCCCCCAGUCAAGACCCCUCCGCCUCGGAGCAAGGGCGACAGUGAUGUUAACGGGCUUCCUAUUACACCGUUCACUCCAGUACCACCAGUCAUUCCAUUGAUUCCGUCUGUCGACCCAAAGAGUUCCAGUCCUCCCAGCACCAACACCGAAUCCAACCCCAACACCACCGCAACCCCUCCACCACCAAGCACACAUCAAUGCACGUGCACUCCUCCAAUUCCAGUAAUUAACAACCCUAACCCGAAUCGUAAUCCUCAAUUCAAGGCCCCGCCGGCACCACCCUCUCCAAUCAAAUCGCCAAGUACUCCACUAUCUCCUCCAGUGAAGACCUCGCCUCCGCCAGCAACUCCUCCACCAUCACCAACUCAAAAGAAGACAUCUCCUCCACCUCGUCGGAGAAAGAAGAUUCCGCGUCCUCCACCACCACCCGUGUCAAAGGAGGAAGAGGACGAUGAGGCUCCGGCUCCAUCACCUAAACCUAUGAUCAAAGCACCAGCUCCGAGGCCUAAUCUGAUGGGGAAAGCACCUCCUCCAAAACCUAAUCUGGUGCCGAAAGCACCAGCUCCAAAACCUAAUCUGGGGCGGAAAGCACCGGCCCCACAUGCGAAGAAGAAGAGACUGCCUUUGCCACCACCUCGGAGGAAGAAGGCACUGCCUCCACUACCACCACCAUCCGAGCAGGAGGAGGAAACUUCGGUUUCCUUGCCUUUCAAAGAUGACGCAGUUUUGGCUCCUUCACUUAAACAACUGAGGAAAGCACCCGCUCCCAACCCCAACACCACCGCAACCCUUCCACCACCAAGCACACGUCAAUGCACGUGCACUCCUCCUGUUCCAGUAAUUAACAACCCUAACCCUAAUCGUAAUCCUCAGUUCAAGUCCCCACCGGCACCACCCUCUCCCGUCAAAUCGCCAAGUACUCCACGGUCUUCACCAGUGAAGACCUCGCCUCCGCCAGCAACUCAGAAGAAGGCAACUCCUCCACCAUCACCAACUCAAAAGAAGACAUCUCCUCCACCUCGUCAAAGAAAGAAGAUACCGCGUCCUCCGCCACCACCCCCGUCAAAGGAGGAAGAGGACGAUGAACCUCCGGCUCCCUCACCUAAGCCUCUGACCAAAGCACCAGCUCCGAGGCCUAAUCUGGUGGGGAAAACACCUCCUCUAAAACCUAAUCUGGUGCCGAAAGCACCUCCUCCAAAACCUAAUCUGAGGUGGAAAACACCGGCCCCACAUGCGAAGAAGAAGAGACUGCCUUCACCACCGCCUCGGAGGAAGAAGGCACUGCCUUCACUACCACCACCAUCCGAGCAGGAGGAGGAGAAGGAUACUCCGGUUUCCUCUUUCAAAGAAGACGCAGUUUUGGCUCCUUCACUUAAACAUCUGAGGAAAGCACCCGCUCCGACG